GCGGCCGUGGUCCAGCCUGGUAAGAUUUCUGCCUGCCACGCAGACGACCCGGGUUCGAAUCCCGGCGGCCGCACCA
rnacentral:tRNA from 1 species